UACGAAGGGGGCUAGCGUUGCUCGGAAUCACUGGGCGUAAAGCGCACGUAGGCGGACUCUUAAGUCGGUGGUGAAAUCCUGGAGCUCAACUCCAGAACUGCCUUCGAUACUGAGAGUCUCGAGUCCGGGAGAGGUGAGUGGAACCGCGAGUGUAGAGGUGAAAUUCGUAGAUAUUCGCAAGAACACCAGUGGCGAAGGCGGCUCACUGGCCCGGUACUGACGCUGAGGUGCGAAAGCGUGGGGAGCAAACGGG
rnacentral:rRNA from 1 species